UACGUAGGCAGCAAGCGUUGUUCGGAGUUACUGGGCGUAAAGGGUGUGUAGGCGGUUGUUUAAGUUUGGUGUGAAAUCUCCCGGCUCAACUGGGAGGGUGCGCCGAAAACUGGAGUGCUGGAGCGCGGGAGAGGAAAGCGGAAUUCCUGGUGUAGCGGUGAAAUGCGUAGAUAUCAGGAGGAACACCGGCGGUGUAGACGGCUUUCUGGACCGUAGCUGACGCUGAGACACGAAAGCGUGGGUAGCAAACAGG
rnacentral:rRNA from 1 species